rnacentral:misc_RNA from 1 species
GAUGAAGAACGUAGCGAAAUGCGAUAAGUAAUGUGAAUUGCAGAAUUCAGUGAAUCAUCGAAUCUUUGAACGCACCUUGCGCCCUUUGGCCAUUCCGAAGGGCAUGCCUGUUUGAGUAUCAUGAACACCUCAACUCUUUAUGGUUUUCCAUGAUGAGCUUGGACUCUGGGGGUUUUGCUGGCUCACAGUCGGCUCCUCUAAAAUGAAUCAGCUUACCAGUGUUUGGUGGGUAUCAUGGGUGUGAUAACUAUCUACGCUUGUGGUUUUUCCACCAGGUAACCUUCAGCAGUGGAGGUUCGCUGGAGCUCAUAGAAGUCUCUCCUCAGUGAGGACAGCCCUUUGAAUGUUUGAUCUCAAAUCAGGUAGGACUACCCGCUGAACUUAAGCAUAUCAAUAAGCGGAGGA